rnacentral:lncRNA from 1 species
GCUUAGUAAAUGCAAUAACUCCCACGUUCCAAGUUCUAAAGGACAAGAGUUAUACAGUAAUGGCAUUCUCCACCCUAUUUAAGGAGAGGUAAGCGGGAGAACUUGAAAAAAAAAGAUUUUUAGCCUCAACUCUUUGUUUUCAUGCUUUGAUUCUUUCUAUCGUUCUCUAUCUUUGGCUGACUUAAAUAUCGGAGGAUCUUUUGUCGAACAACUUCCGAUAAGCGGACUUCAUUUUAUAGAUUUUUCGUUGUCCAACAACCAAACGCAAUACCUCGGCUCGCAGCCG